CGCUCUCGCUGCGCGCGAGCUCGCGUCUAACGAGGGAAAUGUGACGUACGACGUAUCGCUCGAAAGACGGAAACGUCCCUAUGGCGCGCGCGCGGCGCUGGGACACGCCCCCUGUCACGUGGAGGCCGUAAUAGUAACGAGUGAGUAAUUGGGCAAAGCGAAGGUUUCGCUCGACGCGUUUCUGAGGCGAUUGUGGAGAAGGGAGGGCAAGGAAAGAAGAAGAAGAAAAAAGAAGGAAAUAAUAGCGAGUCGGUGUGCGGAAUUGUUACAUGAUGAACAUUAUAUAGAAAUGUACGAAGUUCGAAAGUAAGAGGGGGGCAAUGUGAACGUGGUACUACUAGAAGUUGAACUGAAAUCUCAUUCUGAGAGAAAAAAUUGACAACUGACAACAACACAAAAGUCGACAGAAGCGAAGGCUCCUGUGUGCACAACAGGGCUGGACCAAGCAGAGGACACCCCCGUCCACGCCAGUUGGAGGGGCUGUGGAAGAGCCGUCACCUGUGGAACUCGACAUCUUCAGGCAGGUCACAGGGUCACGUGGGCCUGAAUUCAGCAGGGGUCCAAGGUACAAGAAGGACAAAUGACAGGGCUGCGAGGCGGCCAAAUCCACACAUUCUUCACUGUUAUACAGGCGGCCUGUGUGUUCUACUUGCCCGCUGCCAAAACCGAGCGCAAACAGGACUCCGGCGAUGACGUGCGGUGACCAUCCCCCGCUCUCCUCGUCUGACCGGGCCCAAUUCAACCGGUUCUCCAGCUGAGGCCUGGCUUGGAUUUGGUCUCCUUGGAACAGCUGCCACCCAUCCAGCGGCUAAUUGAUUAUGAUUAGUGAGCCAAUUAGUCCAGGAGGCGGAGCCAGCAGCCUGAGCAGUGUUGAAGGUGUUUGCUAUGGGAAGGCAGGCUGGAAGCUGUGGUAAAUCCCCCAGGGUGAGUGGUCUGUCACAGUGGUGGGAUGGUAGCUGCUGUUGAAGCGCCGUUGAAUUGCAGAAAAACAGUAUUACUGCUCAGUUUCUGAAGGAUGAGCUAUGGUGAACGUGCAGCAGAGCAUGGCCACAAUCACUGAAUUCCAUGUGUAGAAAUGUAAGGGAGGGUUUCUGCAAAGGAGUACUAAUGUGCAUGUUUGAGUGCUUUCAUGUUUCACUUCAGUUAUAAUUUAUUCAUAUUAUUAUUAGCUUACACUUUUCUCCAAACCGACUUGCGAUGUGAGUUUUGCAUAUUAAACUACUUAGAAUGAAUUAC
rnacentral:lncRNA from 1 species